CUCCCUUGUCCCCUUUGGCUAAGAUCAAGUGUAGUAUCUGUUCUUAUCAGUUUAAAAUAGCAAUCUUUAUUAGACUUCUGAUUCAGGCUGUAUCUAGCAAUUCUAACAUUAAAUUAAAUUUAACAUUAAAUAAAACAUUGUGUGUGAAAAGUGAUUUAUAUAGCCCUUGUAUUUGCAGUCCUGGGAGGGGACUCCCA
rfam:Mesocricetus auratus contig049267, whole genome shotgun sequence.